rnacentral:rRNA from 1 species
GAGAGGGCGGACGGCCACAUUGGGACGUGAGACACGGCCCAAACCUACCCUACGGAAGGCAGCAG